rnacentral:rRNA from 1 species
CCUACGGGUCGCAGCAGUGGGGAAUAUUGCACAAUGGGCGCAAGCCUGAUGCAGCCAUGCCGCGUGUAUGAAGAAGGCCUUAGGGUUGUAAAGUACUUUCAGUUGGGAGGAAGGCGUUGAUGCUAAUAUCAUCAACGAUUGACGUUACCAACAGAAGAAGCACCGGCUAACUCCGUGCCAGCAGCCGCGGUAAUACGGAGGGUGCAAGCGUUAAUCGGAAUUACUGGGCGUAAAGCGCACGCAGGCGGUUGAUUAAGUUAGAUGUGAAAUCCCCGGGCUUAACCUGGGAAUGGCAUCUAAGACUGGUCAGCUAGAGUCUUGUAGAGGGGGGUAGAAUUCCAUGUGUAGCGGUGAAAUGCGUAGAGAUGUGGAGGAAUACCGGUGGCGAAGGCGGCCCCCUGGACAAAGGCUGACGCUCAGGUGCGAAAGCGUGGGGAGCAAACAGGAUUAGAUACCCUCGUAGUC